CCUGCCUCAGCCUGCCGAGUAGCUGGGACUACAGGCGCCGGCCACAACGCCCGGCUAAUUAUUUGUAUUUUAGUAGAGAUGGGGUUUCAUCGUGUUAGACAGGAUGGUCUCGAUCUCCUGACCUCGUGAUCCACCCACCUGGGCCUUCCAAAGUGCUGGGAUUACAGGCGUGAGCCACCGAGCCUGGCCAGCAAGUUGAAUUGUUAAAUCAAAAUCACCCUCCAGCCUGGCCAACAUGGUGAAACUGCGUCUCUCCUAAAAAAUACAAACAGUAGCCAGGCCUGGUCACACGCCUGUAAUCUCAGCUACUCCGGAGGCUGAGGCAGAAGAAUCAUUUGAACCUGGGAGGCAGAGGUUGCAGUGAGCCGAGAUUGUGCCACUGCACUCCAGCUUGGGCGACAGGUGAGAUUCCAUCUUAAAAAAAAAAAGAAAUUACCAUAUUACCAGGCUCACAAAUGUAUACCAUACGAAGUGGAAGUGGAAGGCCUAAUUUCAUAAUGUCCAGUUCAGAAGAGGCAAUGGAAGAUAAAAGAGAAGAAUUUUCAAGCAACAAAGUCAAUGACCAUGAGGAUCAAUGGGCAAGAGAAUUCUUCCUAAUGAAUAGUACAUUGAGCUGUAAGAUGAGCUAACUGAUAUUCUACUUUGAGUGAAGCAAAUUUUUGCAUUCUUUCUAAGCAUGAAUUAAUAACUACUAGGGACAUGCAACUUCUGAGUGCUUUGAACAAUAUCCCUUUGCCCUAAUGUGAAGUUUUUUGUUUGCUUUCUUUUUCCUUAAUUCCUUUUAUCUUGUUCCUACUUUCUUUUAUUUUAAAAGAUCUGGG
rnacentral:lncRNA from 1 species